CCGCCGAAACCUUUCCUUCUCUUCCCCAUCUUCCUCGAUCUCUCUUCCCGUAAGCUCUCACGCGACGCCGCCACCCUCUGUGCCUUCGUCGAAACCGUUCUCCCCAACCCACCGUCGACCUAUCCUCUCCUCGUCACGCGAACGCCACAGCCGCUGACCUCUCCUCACGCGAGCACCAGAGAUACACACCACAGCACCCGAUCGCUCGACGUUGCUCAAGACGUCGCUCACCGGAGCCUCCUAACCCCUCUACCCUGCACCGAUAGCACCGCUAGGUAUUCCUCUCUUUCGAUCCUUGCCCCGCACUGAUCGAUCUUCAGCGAAAGGGAAGAAAAUCCCAGCCCUAGCCUCACCGGAUUUGGAGCUUGCUAGAUUCAUUGGAGGUCUGUUUGAGGGUUCAAUUUACUACAUUAGAGGUGGGAGAUUGUAAUGCGUUUUGAUGUUGCCUUGCUUCCUCUUGAAGGUCUCGGGUUAUGUUCUGCAGCAGAAUUUGGGGAUUUUCUUGUGAUUUCUAUUUAGGACUUUGAUUUGAGACGGUAUACGACGUAGGAUUUCUGGAUACGAUCUUCUAUAAAGUAACAGGUAGAUGAGUCAUGGAUGCUUGGAGAGUCCCGGCUGCCAGACCCACGUCACACACGAAGAUAGUUUUUUUUGGAUUUUGUUACUGUUUGGGUGACAUGUUAAUAUUGCGUAUUUUGCUUUUAAACAAGUCACUGUGGAUUUUUGGGCCAAGUCUGUGAUGACAGGUAUUUUUGUUAGUGUCGUUGUUAGUUUUACGUUCGUAUCGCGUUAUGUCUUCCGCUGCUGUGUGUUUACGUUCAGCUGUGUAGGCUUAUUAAACU